GGCACGCGUAGAGCGAUCCGGCGGGGUCGAGCUUCUCCAACAGGUCCGGGAAGCGCCCCAGGCUCAGGUAGGUCGAUUCGAGGCCGAUGCGUUCGUC
rnacentral:tRNA from 1 species